CAGUGACCCCAGGUCA
rnacentral:rRNA from 1 species